rnacentral:tRNA from 1 species
GGUGGGGUAGCUCAGCUGGUUAGAGCAACGGAAUCAUAAUCCGUAGGUCGGCGGUUCAAGUCCGCCCCUCACUACCA